UGCAAGUCGANCGGAAAGGCCCUUCGGGGUACUCGAGUGGCGAACGGGUGAGUAACACGUGGGUGAUCUGCCCUGCACUUUGGGAUAAGCCUGGGAAACUGGGUCUAAUACCGAAUACACCUUGCUGGUUGCAUGACCUGGUGGGGGAAAGCUUUUGCGGUGUGGGAUGGGCCCGCGGCCUAUCAGCUUGUUGGUGGGGUGAUGGCCUACCAAGGCGACGACGGGUAGCCGGCCUGAGAGGGUGUCCGGCCACACUGGGACUGAGAUACGGCCCAGACUCCUACGGGAGGCAGCAGUGGGGAAUAUUGCACAAUGGGCGCAAGCCUGAUGCAGCGACGCCGCGUGAGGGAUGACGGCCUUCGGGUUGUAAACCUCUUUCAGCAUCGACGAAGCGCAAGUGACGGUAGAUGCAGAAGAAGCACCGGCCAACUACGUGCCAGCAGCCGCGGUAAUACGUAGGGUGCGAGCGUUGUCCGGAAUUACUGGGCGUAAAGAGCUCGUAGGUGGUUUGUCGCGUUGUUCGUGAAAACUCACAGCUUAACUGUGGGCGUGCGGGCGAUACGGGCAGACUGGAGUACUGCAGGGGAGACUGGAAUUCCUGGUGUAGCGGUGGAAUGCGCAGAUAUCAGGAGGAACACCGGUGGCGAAGGCGGGUCUCUGGGCAGUAACUGACGCUGAGGAGCGAAAGCGUGGGGAGCGAACAGGAUUAGAUACCCUGGUAGUCCACGCCGUAAACGGUGGGUACUAGGUGUGGGUUUCCUUCCUUGGGANCCGUGCCGUAGCUAACGCAUUAAGUACCCCGCCUGGGGAGUACGGCCGCAAGGCUAAAACUCAAAGGAAUUGACGGGGGCCCGCACAAGCGGCGGAGCAUGUGGAUUAAUUCNAUGCAACGCGAAGAACCUUACCUGGGUUUGACNUGCACAGGACGCCGGCAGANANGUCGGUUCCCUUGUGGCCUG
rnacentral:rRNA from 1 species